GAUUAGAUACCCUGGUAGUCCACGCCGUAAACGAUGUCUACUUGGAGGUUGUGCCCUUGAGGCGUGGCUUCCGGAGCUAACGCGUUAAGUAGACCGCCUGGGGAGUACGGCCGCAAGGUUAAAACUCAAAUGAAUUGACGGGGGCCCGCACAAGCGGUGGAGCAUGUGGUUUAAUUCGAUGCAACGCGAAGAACCUUACCUGGUCUUGACAUCCACAGAACUUUCCAGAGAUGGAUUGGUGCCUUCGGGAACUGUGAGACAGGUGCUGCAUGGCUGUCGUCAGCUCGUGUUGUGAAAUGUUGGGUUAAGUCCCGCAACGAGCGCAACCCUUAUCCUUUGUUGCCAGCGAUUAGGUCGGGAACUCAAAGGAGACUGCCAGUGAUAAACUGGAGGAAGGUGGGGAUGACGUCAAGUCAUCAUGGCCCUUACGACCAGGGCUACACACGUGCUACAAUGGCGCAUACAAAGAGAAGCGACCUCGCGAGAGCAAGCGGACCUCAUAAAGUGCGUCGUAGUCCGGAUUGGAGUCUGCAACUCGACUCCAUGAAGUCGGAAUCGCUAGUAAUCGUGGAUCAGAAUGCCACGGUGAAUACGUUCCCGGGCCUUGUACACACCGCCCGUCACACCAUGGGAGUGGGUUGCAAAAGAAGUAGGUAGCUUAACCUUCGGGAGGGCGCUUACCACUUUGUGAUUCAUGACUGGGGUGAAGUCGUAACAAGGUAACCGUAGGGGAACCUGCGGUUGGAUCACCUCCUUACCUUAAAGAAGC
rnacentral:rRNA from 1 species